UAAAACCCUGAAGAUAAUUUGCAGUUUGUAAGGAUCAUGUAACCUCAAACGGAACAAUAAUCUUUCAAAACUUGUCUAGCAAGAUCGAGAGCACCACUCUUUUUGUAAAUUAAAUGUAGAUUGUAAGCUGCCUCUCUGCGAAGGUCACAGUAACCAGUGUUACAAGACCAACAUGAUGGUAUGCGCGAGCUAUGUUAUAUAAAGAUUCCUGCAAGGCUGGGCAAUCAAUUAGUUCAGUAGAUUCCUGCAAGGCAUGGCAAUCAGUCAGUUCAGUUUUACCUUAUUAAUGUAUAAAAUAAAGUAAAAAACUCAUGACAAGAAUCAACCAGCUGUAAGUUUUUUAUCUGAUAAACUACCACAAAUAUUUUGAUGUGCAUUUAUUCAAGGAUCCACAAGGUGAAAUUUCAGCAGUUGACACAUUCCAACAAAUCUAAGAAACUGUCAACUUAAUUAGAAUGUAGAAACCAACUCAAAAUAUUAAAUCAUGAUCAAAUUCUAUCAUUGGAGAUAUUAAAUGUUUUGAGAUGCAGUCAUUUAAAUUCUAUCAGUCCCCAGUGCUGCUGGUGCUGAUAUCUUUUACCCAUUCAAUUACAUUUACCUACUGAAUCCCUUUGGGUGAAAGGGCUAAUCUUUAUUAUUAGAAAAAACAAAGAAAAUUGACAAUAUGAAUAGGAGAAUUUAAACAAGUAAUAUGGAAACCAAUCCUAGGAGAUAAUCUAAAUACUUUAAGAUUAGAAAUUGAUCAUAGGAGAUAAACUAUAAAAGUCAAAGAUAUUUUAACCCCCCCCCCAAUCAAGCUUAAGCUUACUCAACCUAAGCCUGAUCUUCUUAAUCUUGAUAAAGAAAACAUUACAUUUUGCUGCAUGUAGAAUUAAUGGUUGGGAAGGCAACUUAGGGAUGCUACAGAAGUCGGGUAGAAUUGUUAUAAAGAUAAGUUGGACAGAUAGAUGGCAUGAUCUUAAGUCGGAAAUUUUUUAGGCAGGCAAUUAUGCAAAGAUAGACGCCCUUCUCAAAACCAUAUUUAUAAACUUUAAACCAAUAAUAUAGUAGACCCAAAUAUUUAAACCAACUCUUAAAACCGUUUCUCCUACAAAGGCCACGUCAGUGCAUCUGGGACAAAGGCUGAAGCUAGUGCAUUUGGGACGAAGGAUGAGGCCAAGGCAGUGCAUCUUGGAACAGGAUGAGUAGUGCAUUGGGAAAAACGCUGAGGCUGAGGCCAAAGCAUCUCGGAUAGAGAGCCUGGCUAGAGUGAGUCAUAUCCAACAAAAGUCACCAUCAAAAUGCCCAUCGACGGGAAAGAAGACAUAACCAAAAUGAUCAUUAGUGGGAAUCAAAGACGUUGAUAUGAUCAUUAGUGGGAAUCGAAGAUUUCAAUAAAAUAAAGUCUGAACACAAUUUGUUAAAGUUAAGAAUCUUUAGAUAUUCCUUUAAUUGUACAACUUCCUAGAUUGAUUGUAAUUACUCCUAUAUUCAACUUCCUAGGCUAGUGAUUAAUUUAGCAUUUAAUGCAUUUAUUGUAAAACCAUUAUAUAUACAAGGUGUGUGAUCUCAUUAGACACACAACUUACACAAAAUUUACAUAUCUUUACACAACUGUUAUUACAAUCCAAAACUUUUGUGAACUUUUCAGCAGAAUGGUGACGAGACAAGUCACGGAGGAUCAAACCAGGCUCUAGAAACCAUGUUGAAGUUAUGAGUUUUGGACAAAGGGAGGAGACAAAUGAUAGGUCUUAGGAAUUGUGGUUAGGCCUAACACGACCUCACAAAACCGGCUUGUGAGGUGAAGACGCCCCUAAUUAUAAACACUUGUUCAGGCAAUCUCUCAUCCAAUGCGGGACUCUUAACAAUAAGAACUUAGAAUACUAUUGUUAAUAACUUGAUAUUGAUUUAAUAUAAAAGACUAAACACUAACAUCUAUUUAUAGGGAUAUAAAACUCCUAAUCUUAAAUAAAUAAAAACAUCAAGAGACAAAUCAUGAUACUACCUCCGUCCCUAAUUAUAAGACCCUUUUGAGAAAUUUUUUUGUCCCUUUUUAUAAGACCCUUUUGGUAUUUCCAAGUACAUUAAUUAUUUCUUUACCAAGAUACCUUAUUUAUUUUGCAUCUUUUUCUUCAAUCAACAAUAAAUAUUAUGUUGAAAACAUAAAUUAACUCGCUCUCUUAAGGAUAAAAUUGUAAAAACAAUAGUAAUUACAUACAAAUUUAAUGCUACAACCAACUUUCUUAAUCUCUGUAAUUUUUGCAAAAGGCUCCUAUAAUUAGGGACGGAGGUAGUAAUAACUACUCCCUCCGUCUCACAAUAAUAGUCUCUUUAGCAUUUUUUUUUUCUUCUCAAAAUAAUUGUCUCUUUAGAAUACCAAUACAACAUUUAUUAUUUUUUUUCCCAUUAUUAUACCCUUAUUUAUUGAAUUUCAUCAAACUUAACUAACUGCAAUUAAUAAGGGUAUUUUAGUAAAUGAUAUUAAUUUUACCAUUGAAAUCAACACAAUCAAUCAUUUCCUUAAUAAUCGU
rnacentral:lncRNA from 1 species